rnacentral:rRNA from 1 species
AAUCAACGCUGGCGGCGUGCCUCAGACAUGCAAGUCGAACGCGAAAGGCCCUUUCGGGGGCCGAGUAGAGUGGCGCACGGGUGGGUAACACGUAGGUAAUCUACCUCUGGGUGGGGAAUAACGACCGGAAACGGUCGCUAAUACCGCAUAACGCAGCGGCACCACAUGGUGACAGUUGUUAAAGCGGGGGAUCGUAAGAC